AGCGAACGCUGGCGGCAGGCUUAACACAUGCAAGUCGAGCGCCCCGCCAGGGGCGCGGCCGACGGGAGAGUAACACGUGGGAACAUACCUUUUGGUUCGGAACAACUGAGGGAAACUUCAGCUAAUACCGGAUAAGCCCUUACGGGGAAAGAUUUAUCGCCGAAAGAUUGGCCCGCGUCUGAUUAGCUAGUUGGUGAGGUAACGGCUCACCAAGGCGACGAUCAGUAGCUGGUCUGAGAGGAUGAUCAGCCUCACUGGGACUGAGACACGGCCCAGACUCCUACGGGAGGCAGCAGUGGGGAAUAUUGGACAAUGGGGGCAACCCUGAUCCAGCCAUGCCGCGUGAGUGAUGAAGGCCUUAGGGUUGUAAAGCUCUUUUGCCCGGGAAGAUAAUGACGGUACCGGGAGAAUAAGCCCCGGCUAACUUCGUG
rnacentral:rRNA from 1 species